rnacentral:rRNA from 1 species
UGAAUACGAGACGCUAAGGCGUCGAAGUAGUGUAUAUCAGACUUCCAAGAAAAGCUUGCACUGUCAUAGAUAAAAAAUGCCUGUACCAUAACCGACACAGGUGGGUAGGUAGAGUAUACUAAGGGGCGCGAGAUAACUCUCUCUAAGGAACUCGGCAAAAUAACUCCGUAACUUCGGGAGAAGGAGUGCCUUAUUUAUAAGGUUGCAAUAACAAGAUCCAAGCAACUGUUUAUCAAAAACACAGGUCUCCGCUAAGUCGUAAGACGAUGUAUGGGGGCUGACGCCUGCCCAGUGCCAGAAGGUUAAAGAAGUUGGUUAGCAAUUGCGAAGCUGAUAACUGAAGCCCUGGUGAACGGCGGCCGUAACUAUAACGGUCCUAAGGUAGUGAAAUUCCUUGUCGGGUAAGUUCCGACCCGCACGAAAGGCGUAAUGAUUUGGAUACUGUCUCGGAGAGGGGCUCGGUGAAAUAGACUUGUCUGUGAAGAUGCGGACUACCUGCACCAGGACAGAAAGACCCUAUGAAGCUUUACUGUAACUUGAAAUUGAAAUUGGACUUUAUUCGCGCAGCAUAGGUGGGAGGCGUUGAUUAUAAUCUUGCGGGAUUAUUGGAGCCAUCAGUGAGAUACCACUCUUGUAAUGUUAGAUUUCUAACUUUGAAUCAUUAUCUGGUCAAAGAACAGUUUCAGGCGGGCAGUUUGACUGGGGCGGUCGCCUCCUAAAUGGUAACGGAGGCGUACAAAGGUUUCCUCUGAACGGUUAGAAAUCGUAUCUAGAGUGUAAAGGCAUAAGGAAGCUUGACUGUGAGACCUACAAGUCGAGCAGGGACGAAAGUCGGUCUUAGUGAUCUGACGGUACUGAGUGGAAAGGCCGUCACUCAACGGAUAAAAGUUACUCUAAGGAUAACAGGCUGAUCUCCCCCAAGAGUUCACAUCGACGGGGAGGUUUGGCACCUCGAUGUCGGCUCAUCGCAUCCUGGGGCGGUAGUACGUCCCAAGGGUUGGGCUGUUCGCCCAUGAAAGCGGUACGCGAGCUGGGUUCAGAACGUCGUGAGACAGUUCGGUCCAUAUCCGGUGUAGGCGUUAGAAUAUUGAGAGGAGCCUUCUUUAGUACGAGAGGACCGAGAAGGACAUACCUCUGGUGUACCAGUUAUCGUGCCAACGGUAAACGCUGGGUAGCUAUGUAUGGAGUGGAUAACCGCUGAAAGCAUCUAAGUGGGAAGCCCACCUCAAGAUAAGUAUUCUC